CACUGUGGUUGUGAUGCCAUGAAGAUGGACAACAUUUAUGAGAACGUGGAGAUGAAAUCUCUGGAUUAUUCAUCAUGUUCUCAGCCGACAGCUGCCGUGCGGAGUCAAGGGAGUUCGGCAGCAUCCGAGGAAAGACGUGCUGGGAAAGUAUCUUUCUACAAGAGGAUUACAGUGGCCUUUGCUUGUGUGUGGAUCUUCACUGUGAUUGCUGGGCUGGGCUUUAUCAGUGAGUAUUAAAAAACUGUUAGACUGCAUGUUUAAAAUCUUAAUUACUGGA
rnacentral:lncRNA from 1 species